AUGGGACCCUAUGUUGGCAUGAGGUUUGACAACCUUCAAAUUGCUAUGGAUCACUCCAACAGCUACGCACUAUGGAUGGGUUUCUCUGUCAAGAUGAACACCUCUAGGCAGACAACCCACACCAAUGUAUUGGUAAAACAACAGUUUUGCUCCAAUAAGUUCAAGAAGCCCAAAGCUAAUGAUGGAGGAGCUGAGGCUCCUCCUGUCCUGGACCCUAUUCCAGAUUCAAAACCUGUUGACAAUGAUGAGGAAAUGGAAGAUGAACCUCCAAUCUUUGCUGAAGAGGAGGCUGGUCCUAGUAAGAAGAAGAAGAAACGGAAACGCGAGACAAUAAAGCAGACUCAAUGCAAGGCAAAAAUGUUGGUGAAGUUGAUAGAUGGGCGAUGGGAGGUGACGCACUUUGUUCGUGACCACAAUCAUCCGCUGGUGAACAAACCUUCAUUGUCCAAAUACUUGAGAUCCCACCAAGGCAUCUCACCUGAUGAAAAGGAGUUUUUGCACAUCUUGUAUAACUGCAACUUGACUACAGGUGUGCUGUUUCUAUAUCCCUUAAAGAAUUAA
rnacentral:rRNA from 1 species